CAAACCGGAGGAAGGUGGGGAUGACGUCAAGUCAUCAUGCCCCUUUAUGACCUGGGCUACACACGUGCUACAAUGGACGGUACAACGAGAAGCGACCCUGUGAAGGCAAGCGGAUCUCUGAAAGCCGUUCUCAGUUCGGAUUGCAGGCUGCAACUCGCCUGCAUGAAGCUGGAAUCGCUAGUAAUCGCGGAUCAGCACGCCGCGGUGAAUACGUUCCCGGGCCUUGCACACACCGCCCG
rnacentral:rRNA from 1 species